rnacentral:rRNA from 1 species
CGGUCGUAUGCUUCGUUCAAGGGCUAACCCAUGCAAGUCUCAAAGCAAUCGGAUAAACAAAGGGUCUGUGAAUGGCUCCUUACAUCACCAGUCAUCCUAGUGAUAGUGUGUGGUUGGCACCACCUGCCAAUGGUGCCCAUUGGGACAUCCUCAAAAACCUUGUGGCUAAUACCCGUCCGCAACAGUCAACCCCAGCACAGGUGCCAGCCUUCCCUGGUUGGCAUCCUGGGGGUGGAUCAUGCCCAGCUAAAAUGAAAACCAGCGCCCGUCUAGGGCAGUGUGUUGAGGUUGACUCAGGCUGGACUCCCAUUGGAAACAGCCAUUCUGGCAAAGGGGUGACCUCGUGUCACAUCGCUUGAUCACAGGAACUUCUGACCUAUCAGCUUGAAUUGUGAGGUAGUGGCUCACAAUGGCAGUAACGGGUAACGAAAAAUCAGGGUUCGAUUCCGGAAAGGGAGCCUGAAAAACGGCUACCACUACCAAGGUGGGCAGCAGGCGCGCAAAUUGCCCAAUACAAGCCCCUUUGUGUGAGGCAGCGACAAACCGCAGCAAUCCUGCUGGCCUUCUGUGCCAGUGGUCUUUGGAAUGAAUGCAACCCAAACACAGCGAUGAGUAUCGACU